AUCUUAGAGACAUCCAAUAAAAUUGGAAUGAUACAGAGAAGAUUAGCUUGGUCCCUGCAUAAGGAUGACACACAGAAAUUAAGAAAUGAUAUCAGAGAUG